rnacentral:rRNA from 1 species
GCUUGCAUCUUGAGUUUGCGUUAGAUUAGUGGCGAACGGGUGAGUAACGCGUGGGUAAUCUACCCUCAAGUUGGGAAUAACUUGCCGAAAGGUAGGCUAAUACCGAAUGUGGCUAUUGUCUCGGAUAGAGAGAAUAGCUAAAGGAAGCGUAAGCUUUCGCUUGAAGAUGAGCCCGCGUCUGAUUAGCUUGUUGGUGGGGUAAUGGCCUACCAAGGCGAACAUCAGUAGCCGGCCUGAGAGGGUGGUCGGCCACAUUGGAACUGGGACACGGUCCAGACUCCUACGGGAGGCAGCAGUGAGGAAUAUUGCGCAAUGGGCGAAAGCCUGACGCAGCGACGCCGCGUGGGUGAUGAAGGUCUUCGGAUCGUAAAGCCCUUUUAGAGAGAAUAGAUAAUGACGGUACUCUCAGAAUAAGCCUUGGCUAACUACGUGCCAGCAGCCGCGGUAAU